rnacentral:siRNA from 1 species
AUCGAUGUCGGGAUGUCGUUAAUC